rnacentral:rRNA from 1 species
AGCGAACGCUGGCGGUAGGCCUAACACAUGCAAGUCGAACGGCAGCACAGUAAGAGCUUGCUCUUACGGGUGGCGAGUGGCGUACGGGUGAGGAAUACAUCGGACUCUACUUUUUCGUGGGGGUUAACGUAGCGAAACUUACUCUAAUACCGCAUACGCCCUACGGUUGAGAGCAGUGGAUCUUCGGACCUUGCGCGAUUGAAUGAGCGGAUGUCGGAUUAGCUAGUUGGGUGGUUAAAUGCCCACGAAGGCGAGGGUGCGUAGCUGGUCUGAGAGGAUGGUAACCCACACUGGAACUUAGACACGGUCAAGACUACUACGGGAGGCAGCAGUCUGGAAUAUUAGACAAUAGUCGCAAACAUUAUACAACGAUACCACGUGUGUUAAGAAAGCCCUCCGUUUGUAAAGCCCUUUUUUUGGUAAAAAAAAGCAUCAGCUUAAUACCCCGCUGUACUGACGGUACCCAAAAAAUAAGCACCGGCUAACUUCGUG